rnacentral:rRNA from 1 species
UACAGAGGUCCCAAGCGUUGUUCGGAUUCACUGGGCGUAAAGGGUGCGUAGGUGGUGAGGUAAGUCGGAUGUGAAAGCUCGGAGCUCAACUCCGAAAUGGCAUUGGAAACUACCUUGCUCGAGGGUUGGAGGGGGGACUGGAAUGCUUGGUGUAGCAGUGAAAUGCGUAGAUAUCAAGCGGAACACCAGUGGCGAAGGCGAGUCCCUGGACAACUCCUGACACUGAGGCACGAAAGCGUGGGGAUCAAACAGG